AAUAAAAUAGUAAAAAUAUUAUUUAACUCUGAAGCUGUUAAGUUGGGCUUAUUAUAGGCUCUUUUGUUA
rnacentral:tRNA from 1 species